rnacentral:rRNA from 1 species
GGUGGGGCACUUUAUGAAAGGGGGGGGGGUAAGAGGGAGGAAGGUGUGGAUGACGUCAAGUAGGCAUGGCCCUAACGGGUUGGGCUACACACGUGGUGCAAUGGUGGUGACAAUGGGUUAAUCCCAAAAAACCAUCUCAGUUUGGAUUGGGGUCUGCAACUCGACCCCAUGAAGUCGGAAUCGCUAGUAAUCGCGUAACAGCAUGACGCGGUGAAUACGUUCCCGGGCCUUGUACACACCGCCCGU